rnacentral:rRNA from 1 species
GACGAACGCUGGCGGCGUGCUUAACACAUGCAAGUCGAGCGGUAAGGCCCUUUCGGGGGUACGACGAGCGGCGAACGGGUGAGUAACACGUGGGUGACCUGCCCUCAGCUCUGGGAUAAGCCUGGGAAACUGGGUCUAAUACUGGAUAUGACUCCACGGUGCAUGUCGUGGGGUGGAAAGCCUUGUGCGGCUGAGGAUGGGCCCGCGGCCUAUCAGCUUGUUGGUGGGGGGAU